AGUCCAUAAUGGACUGGCCUGAGGUCUCCCUACAAACAAGCGUCUGCUGGAAGAGAGUAGGUGAGUUGUGUUUAGUCUCUUUGCUAAACAAAUGAGUCAAAGUUAAAAAGAUGUUUGGUGUCUAGUACUAUGUCUGUGACCCUAUAUGUCCUGUUGAUGAAGUUAGGUGCUGUUCUGAGCAUUAUUUGUGGCUAUAGAGUGGCGUUUUGGUUGAGGGCGUGGCUCUCUGUAUUGCUAUCCUGCGGUCGUUACUAAAGUUGGUAUAACUAGAGAAGCAAGCGGUCGGCAACAUUCAUCUCUGGAGGGGGGGUCUAACUCUGUGUUACGGUGGGUUUGACCUUAAAUUAAUUUUACGCCGGAAUAUCCCUUUAA